rnacentral:rRNA from 1 species
AGCGAACGCUGGCGGCAGGCUUAACACAUGCAAGUCGAGCGGAUGUAGCAAUACAUCAGCGGCAGACGGGUGAGUAACACGUGGGAACGUACCUUUUGGUUCGGAACAACACAGGGAAACUUGUGCUAAUACCGGAUAAGCCCUUACGGGGAAAGAUUUAUCGCCGAAAGAUCGGCCCGCGUCUGAUUAGCUAGUUGGUGAGGUAACGGCUCACCAAGGCGACGAUCAGAGCUGGUCUGAGAGGAUGAUCAGCCACAUUGGGACUGAGACACGGCCCAAACUCCUACGGGAGGCAGCAGUGGGGAAUAUUGGACAAUGGGCGCAAGCCUGAUCCAGCCAUGCCGCGUGAGUGAUGAA